CAAGAGGCCCCCCCCUCCAGACGUCAACACUGGGGGGGGCAACAACCGUCUGCCAGGGGGGCAACCACCACGCAGACAACGCAGCGCACACACAAAGGGUCAGAGCAUCUCCCCCUCUAUCAGUGUGCUCUACAUUCUGGAGACAGAUCAGGAAAUUACAACAAAGACCUGCCCUGUACCAGAGGACUGCAGGGCUGGGCGUUACAGCUUCACUGUGCCUUUACAGAGAAACGUCUCCUCCUCUAUGUCAAAUGUUACCUUACACAUGAUCUCUGAGGAGAGUGUGUGUGUUCAGCAGUGUGGUGUGACCCUGGGCCGUCUGUGUCCAGAUCAGACAGGGACAAGCCUCCCUGGCAAACAGGAAGCCAUAACAAAGGGCACAGAUCACCUGUGGUCAGUUCCUGUGCUCGCAUUCCAAGACGUCACCUACCAUUUUCGCGUGUCUUCAUCUGGUGCUGUGAGCUGCAGCAGUGAGGAAGAUGAAGAUCGGGGUGAGGAGGAUGAGGUCUUCUCACCGUACUCUGACUACUUCUUCCUCAUCCAGACCAGCUGCCCCUGAGAUGGAGGCGGCCGAGUCUGUAGGCGGCGUUUUUUAACAACUCCCACUUCGUCCAUUUUUCAGUCUCUCUCUCUCUCUCUUUCUCUCUCUCUCACUCACUCUGUCUCUCCUAGAAAUUGACUGUCAUUUUUCUUAAACUUUUUUGUUGUUUUACCAGGAUUCUUUUCUUUCUUUUGUUUGAAGUUUAAUUUGUUAGAGAUCAUUUCCCCAUAUGACGAGUUCCACACCGUACAAUGGGGCCUAAGAGAGCGGGUACCAGUGUGUGUGUGUGUGUGUGUGUGUG
ensembl:lncRNA